UUGCAAAGGUGAGACCCGAAGGAUGAUGACCAGAUAUAUUUUAGGGGCGCGGUGAUGACAUGCUGCGCCAGAGAGGAGGCGGCUAGAGACGAGGCCAGUUGGUUUAGGAGGCGAAGGGUUCGGCGGGAGCAGAGGCAGUGGCGGGGGAGGGGGAGCGUCACUACCGACUACUCCUACUCAUGGCUACGAAGCAACCCUUGGACAGGACCAGGUGUUGACUACUUUCGGAGUUCCUACGUAAGAGUUUUAUGCCGUUUCAAUGGCUCCGUUUCCACCAGUACCUGUUCAAAAGACCUGCAAGUGCACCUAAACGGAAACACUGGAAACUACUCUUCUUUCGGUACCUUCUUCGAUAGCUCCUGUACUUACCUAACCUGAACCUUCCCUCCCGGUAGUGACAACUAUUUCGAGUCGGAGUUCCCCGACCAUCUCUAGCAUUGCCACUGGCACUAAAACUAGCACUGGCACCCAGAGCACCACCGGCACUGAUACCGCCACCAGCACGCCGCGCACCAUCACCACCCCUGACGAAGUUCACACCGUUUGGACCUGUGAAACGAUCUCUCACGGGUCUACCACUACCGCCCUCUCCACUGGCUAUACCACCGUCUCUACUAUCCAUACCACCACCAUCUAGACUGGCACUGGCAAGACUGGCACCGCCGCUAGCAAGACUGGCACUGGCAAGACUGGCACCGCCGCUGGCAAGACUAGCACUGCCACUAGCUAGACUCGCACCGUCACUGGCUAUAAGAUCGGCAUCGGCUCUACCACCUUCGCCCCCACUGGCAAUGUCAGCACUGGCUAGUCCAGGGAUGACUACCGGACCUAGAACUCUUCACACAAAGUAGGUCCAUACUUUUGGGAUAGAUCAUAGUACUCCACACAAAGGAACACAGACUUUGAAACACUAGUACAUAAACUUGAUAUUACUACAUGGCACUCAUUCGUCUAGGAAAUAAUGUCUGGUAUAAUGACUGGACGAAUAAUAAACGAAGGACCAAUUACACUCAGUGUACCUGAACCGGUAUUUUACGAACCACGACCCGGGAUGUACAAACGAACUAUGCGACGAGCCACCAAGAACGAACCAACUCUCCACCGAGAACCAGCGCGACACACAACUACGAGGUAGUACGACCAACACGAGUACGCUCUAUGCACCCAAUACACCCUAACCUGCCCGUAUGGUACAACAACAAGGACACCAUGGCCCUUCCUUUGCCACUUGAUUUGAAACGAACUUUUUAAGUAGUGUUCUUUUCCCCCUCCACUGUUAGUAGCCAGGCAUUUUCCUUUUCGUUUGGCCGGGGGAAAACCCAACGAAUAAAACAAGGCCUAGCCAAAGCAAGCCAAGAAGGAAGGCAACAACAGAUUAUUAUUGGCUCCCGUACAACCAACUAAGGUUAGACACCGUCAUAUGGUAUCGGUAACCUCCAGGGGACGAAGAGACGUCGGACGGAUUUUUACUACGAACACGGAAACGGGGACAAGCGGCCGAAACAAUGGACCAGUGACCUCAAACAGGGACAACCAGCCGGAACGAUGGACCAGCGACCUCAAACGAUCGACAACGAAGGAACAAAGCAACUCGACACGGCAAGCAGCGAUCUCUACGUAGCAACCCGACACAAGCAGCGCUCUCUACGUGUAGCCUUAUUACGAGUCGAUGUACCGAUAGGAAGAAACCGUUACGCGGUGGCCUCAUCGUCCAAGGCAAUCAUACAUCACACAAUAUCACACCGUAACGUUCAAAUGUACCGGUAGUCUAUCGAGUAGAUUUCUCAAAAAGGAACAAAUUUAAAUCAAAUGUAACGUAACGUUCAAAUGUACAAACCAGCAGAUUUCUUACAAAACAAGUGAAAUGAACAAAAAGGAACAAAUUUAAGUACUCGACAAGUAGGAAUACACACAC
rnacentral:rRNA from 1 species